rnacentral:rRNA from 1 species
AUGUAUAGCAAUAGCUGAUUGCACCAACAAAUAGUUGAUGCAAUAUUGACUCUGUCAAAUAAAAUUCUAGGUAGAAUUAUGAUAAUGACAUUGUCUGCCUAUAUGUCUUGACCAAAUUACGUGCCAGCAGUCGCGGUAAUACGUAGAAGACUAGUGUUAUUCAUCUUUAAUAGGUUUAAAGGGUACCUAGACGGUAAAUCAAGCCUUCACAGGGACUAAUUUACUAGAGUUACUUACGAGGGGGUAUUAAAGUACUGCAGGUGUAGAGAUGAAAUUCUGUCAUACCUCUUUUCAAAAGAAAAAUUAUGGCACAGGUAUAGGUGAAAGCAUCCCCUUAUGUGAUAACUGACGUUGAAGGACGAAGGCUUUGUGUCGCGAACAGGAUUAGAUACCCCNGUAGUCAAAGCAGAAAAUGAUGAAUGUCAUAGAUUAGAUAAAUAGUUUAUUCUAUAAAUGAAAAUGUAAGCAUUCCACCUCAAGAGUAAUUUGGCAACAUUGGAACUGAAAUCAUUAGACCGUUUCUGAAACCAGUAGUGAAGUAUGUUGUUUAAUUUGAUGAUCCGCAAAAAACCUUACCACAAUUUGAAUAUUUAUAUCUAUCUUUUUUUUUCGUAAAAAAAUAAAAAGGUAAUAUAUUUACAAGCGUUGCACGGCUGUCUUCAGUUAAUGUCGCGAGACUUUGGUUAGUUCCAUUAAAUUAACGUAAACCCUUACUUUAUUUUUAUAUGAAGUAGUUCCCCGCUAUAUUGGAUAUGAUAACAGGGACUAAGACAAGUCAUCAUGGCCUGAAUGUUGUGGGCUAUAGACGUGCCACAUAAACCUUACAAAAGGGUGUGAAAUUGCGAAA